AUUCAGAUAUAUCAGCUUUCAAAAUACACAGGUUCUGGGUCUUGCCAUUUGGCAUGUAGUAGAGUUUUUCAAUCUCAACACUAUUGACAUUUUGGGCGGCAUAAUUCUUUCUCGUGGGUGGUUGUUCUGUGCAUCGUAAAAUGUUUACAGUUAUCCCUGCCCAAUAUCCACUAGAUGUAAGAAGCACUCCCUUCCCAGUUAUGACAACCAAAACGACUCCAGACCAUCCGCGAUUCUCCUGGGAGGAAAGCUGCCCCCUCACUGAGGGCCACUGCCUUAGGAACUGAGGGAGUUUUGUUUUGUUGGAGUGAGACUAUUUUGAUGAUGAUCUUGUAGAGCUGAGAAAUCACAUACUCUUCAAUUAUUUGGAGUUGAUUACAGAGGAUGAAGCCCAAGAAAUGAAGUAGCCACAUUAUGGAAAAGGCCUGGAUUCCUGCAUGACUGCAUGGAGCAGAAACUCCCAUCCACCCUUACUGAGCCAUAAUGUAACAAGAAUCAAAACCUUCUUGAUUUAAGCCAAUGAGAUAAUACAGACCUCUGUGACUGAGUAAUGUUA